rnacentral:rRNA from 1 species
UACCAGCACCCCGAGUGGUCGGGACGAUUAUUGGGCCUAAAGCAUCCGUAGCCGGUUCUACAAGUCUUCCGUUAAAUCCACCUGCUUAACAGAUGGGCUGCGGAGGAUACUAUGGAGCUAGGAGGCGGGAGAGGCAAGCGGUACUUAGUGGGUAGGGGUAAAAUCCGUUGAUCCAUUGAAGACCACCAGUGGCGAAGGCGGCUUGCCAGAACGCACUCGACGGUGAGG